rnacentral:rRNA from 1 species
ACGCUCGACACCUACGGGAGGCAGCAGUGAGGAAUAUUGGUCAAUGGACGCAAGUCUGAACCAGCCAUGCCGCGUGCAGGAUGACGGCUCUAUGAGUUGUAAACUGCUUUUGUACGAGGGUAAACGCAGAUACGUGUAUCUGUCUGAAAGUAUCGUACGAAUAAGGAUCGGCUAACUCCGUGCCAGUAGCCGCGGUAAUCUGAGCGGGCUGGCAAGGC